rnacentral:rRNA from 1 species
CCCUUAGAUGUCCUGGGCUGCACGCGCGCUACACUGACACGUUCAACAAGUCUUACCUGCUCCGAUAGGACUGGGUAAUCUCUUAAAUGCGUGUCGUGAUGGGGAUAGAUUAUUGCAAUUAUUAAUCUUCAACGAGGAAUUCCUAGUAAGUGCAAGUCAUCAGCUUGUGCUGAUUACGUCCCUGCCCUUUGUACACACCGCCCGUCGCUCCUAUCGAUUGAGUGAUCCGGUGAAUAAUUCGGACCGCGAUAUUGUGGGCAACUGCAAUUUUUGUGGGAAGUUUAGUGAACCUUAUCACUUAGAGGAAGGAGAAGUCGUAACA